rnacentral:rRNA from 1 species
CGGGUGCACUGAUCCGGCCGGGCCUUUCCCUCUGUGGAACCCCAUGGCCUUCACUGGCUGUGCGGGGGAAACAGGACUUUUACUGUGAAAAAAUUAGAGUGCUCCAGGCAGGCCUAUGCUCGAAUACAUUAGCAUGGAAUAAUAGAAUAGGACGCGUGGUUCUAUUUUGUUGGUUUCUAGGACCGCCGUAAUGAUUAAUAGGGACAGUCGGGGGCAUCAGUAUUCAAUUGUCAGAGGUGAAAUUCUUGGAUCUAUUGAAGACUAACUACUGCGAAAGCAUUUGCCAAGGAUGUUUUCAUUGAUAAGGAACGAAAGUUAGGGGAUCGAAGACGAUCAGAUACCGUCGUAGUCUUAACUAUAAACUAUGCCGACUAGGGAUCGGACGAUGUUAUUUCUUGACGCGUUCGGCACCUUUCGAGAAAUCAAAGUGCUUGGGCUCCAGGGGGAGUAUGGUCGCAAGGCUGAAACUUAAAGAAAUUGACGGAAGGGCACCACCAGGGGUGGGAACCUGCGGCUUAAUUUGACUCAACACGGGGAAACUCACCAGGUCCAGACACAGUGAGGAUUGACAGAUUGAGAGCUCUUUCUUGAUUCUGUGGGUGGUGGUGCAUGGCCGUUCUUAGUUGGUGGAGUGAUUUGUCUGCUUAAUUGCGAUAACGAACGAGACCUUAACCUGCUAAAUAGCCCGUACUGCUCUGGCAGUUCGCCGGCUUCUUAGAGGGACUAUCGG